UCGUGCUAGGCGGGGAGCUAGCAGUGCCCUGAACCCGAAAUCUGCUUAGCGGGGCGGAAGCCCCUUUCGAGGGCCUGGACGUUCGAGCCUACCACAGACAAGUGGCGUUGAAGGUCUGGUCCUGCGCGGCAGGAGGUUCCCCAACCCCGCCAGGGCCGGAAGGCAGCAACGGUUAGGAAUAACUCUUGGGUGACGCAGGAGCGCCGGGCUGGAGCUAACUGGCUGGAGCAAGUCGGGCGACCAGGUUCGACAAAGGGUGCACGA
rnacentral:SRP_RNA from 1 species